UCCAGGUACUGUCCAGGGAGUUCCACCAGGUUCUGUUCCCGGUGCUGUCCAGGGAGUUCCACCAGGUUCUGUUCCAGGUACGGUCCAGGGAGUUCCACCAGGUUCUGUUCCAGGUACUGUCCAGGGAGUUCCACCAGGUUCUGUUCCAGGUACUGUCCAGGGAGUUCCACCAGGUUCUGUUCCAGGUACUGUCCAGGGAGUUCCACCAGGUUCUG